rnacentral:rRNA from 1 species
GAUGAACGCUGACAGAAUGCUUAACACAUGCAAGUCAACUUGAAUUUGGGUUUUUAACUUAGGUUUGGGUGGCGGACGGGUGAGUAACGCGUAAAGAACUUGCCUCACAGCUAGGGACAACAUUUGGAAACGAAUGCUAAUACCUAAUAUUAUGAUAAUAGGGCAUCCUAUAAUUAUGAAAGCUAUAAGCGCUGUGAGAGAGCUUUGCGUCCCAUUAGCUAGUUGGAGAGGUAACGGCUCACCAAGGCGAUGAUGGGUAGCCGGCCUGAGAGGGUGAUCGGCCACAAGGGGACUGAGACACGGCCCUUACUCAUACGGGAGGCAGCAGUGGGGAAUAUUGGACAAUGGACCAAGAGUCUGAUCCAGCAAUUCUGUGUGCACGAUGAAGUUUUUCGGAAUGUAAAGUGCUUUAAGUUGGGAAGAAAGAAAUGACGGUACCAACAGAAGAAGUGACGGCUAAAUACGUG